CUCUUUUUGAAUAUAAUUUAAAGUUGGGCCUGCCCACUGAAUUUUGAAGGGCCGCAGUAUUUUGACUGUGCAAAGGUAGCAUAAUCAUUAGUUUUUUAAUUGAAAGCUAGAAUGAAAGGUUUGAUGAAAAAAUAACUGUCUCAAUUUUAAUUAAAGAAUUUUAUUUUUAAGUUAAAAAGCUUAAAUAAUUUUUAAAGACGAGAAGACCCUAUAGAGUUUAACUAACUUAAUAAUAUUUAAUGAUUAGAAAAAAAAAUAAAUUUUAUUAAUAAGUUUUGUUGGGGUGACAGAAAAAUUUAAUUAACUUUUUUUUAAUUUUUUCAAUAAUAAUUGUAUAUUUGAUCCAUUUAAAUGAUUAAAAGAAUAAAUUACCUUAGGGAUAACAGCGUUAUUUUUUUUAAGAGUUCAUAUUUAAAAAAAAGUUUGCGACCUCGAUGUUGGAUUAAAAUUUAUUUUUGGUGCAGGAGCUAAAAAAUUGGGUCUGUUCGACCUUUAAAAUUUUACAUGAUCUGAGUUUAAACCGGUGUAAGCCAGGUUGGUUUCUAUCUUAAUGAAGAUUAAAUAUUUUAGUACGAAAGGAUUAAAUAUUUUAUUUAAAAUAUAAAAUUGAAUUAAAAUUUUAUUUUGGCAGAAUAGUGCANAGGAUUUAGAAUCUUUUUAUAUAAUUUAAAUUAUAAAUAAAAAUUGAUUUUAUUUUAAUUAUAAUUAAUUUUAUUAUUUUGUUUAUUGGAGUUUUAGUAGGUGUGGCUUUUUUAACUUUAUUGGAACGUAAAUUAUU
rnacentral:rRNA from 1 species